GAGUUUGAUCCUGGCUCAGAAUGAACGCUGGCGGCGUGCUUAACACAUGCAAGUCGAACGAGAAAGGGAUUGCUUGCAAUCCUGAGUAGAGUGGCGCACGGGUGAGUAACACGUAGAUAAUCUACCUUCAAGCCCGGGAUAACUAUUCGAAAGGAUAGCUAAUACCGGAUAAAGUUGAUUAACAUAAGUUGAUUAAUGAAAGAUUGCCUCUGAUUUAAGCAAUUGUUUGGAGAUGAGUUUGCGGACCAUUAGUUUGUUGGUGGGGUAAAGGCCUACCAAGACUGCGAUGGUUAGCUGGUCUGAGAGGAUGAUCAGUCACACUGGAACUGGAACACGGUCCAGACUCCUACGGGAGGCAGCAGUGAGGAAUUUUGCGCAAUGGGGGAAACCCUGACGCAGCAACGCCGCGUGAGUGAAGAAGGCCUUUGGGUCGUAAAGCUCUGUCAACUGGGAAGAAAUUACAACGAUCUAACAGGUAGUUGUAUUGACGGUACCAGUGGAGGAAGCGCCGGCUAACUCCGUGCCAGCAGCCGCGGUAAUACG
rnacentral:rRNA from 1 species